rnacentral:rRNA from 1 species
CCUACGGGAGGCAGCAGUGAGGAAUAUUGGUCAAUGGGCGUAAGCCUGAACCAGCCAAGUCGCGUGAGGGAUGAAGGUUCUAUGGAUCGUAAACCUCUUUUAUAAGGGAGCAAAGUGCGGGACGUGUCCCGUUUUGUAUGUACCUUAUGAAUAAGGCUCGGCUAACUCCGUGCCAGCAGCCCCGGUACUAAGGAGGAUACGAGCGUUAUCCGGAUUUAUUGGGUUUAAAGGGUGCGUAGGCGGCCUUUUAAGUCAGCGGUGAAAGUCUGUGGUUCAACCAUGGAAUGGCCGUUGAAACUGGGAGGCUGGAGUGUGUUGGAGGCAGGCGGAAUGCGUGGUGUAGCGGUGAAAUGCAUAGAUAUCACGCAGAACCCCGAUGGCGAAGGCAGCCUGCCGAGCCAUGACUGACGCUGAGGCACGAAAGCGUGGGGAUCAAACAGGAUUAGAUACCCCAGUAGUC